GCUAAAUACUCCCGAGAGACCGAUAGUGAACCAGUACCGCGAGGGAAAGGUGAAAAGUACCCCGAGCAGGGGGGUGAAAUAGACCCUGAACCCGCGCGCCUACAAGCGGUCGGAGCUGCCUUGUGCAGUGACGGCGUGCCUUUUGCAUAAUGAGCCUACGAGUUAGUCGUCACCAGCGAGGUUAAGGGCUUCAGGCCCGUCAGCCGAAGUGAAAGCGAGCCUUAACAGGGCGUCAAGUUGGUGGCGCUAGACGCGAAACCUUGUGAUCUACCCACGAGCAGGUUGAAGUCGCGGUAACACGUGAUGGAGGACCGAACCGGUAAACGUUGAAAAGUUUUCGGAUGACUCGCGGGUAGGGGUGAAAGGCCAAUCAAACUGGGAAAUAGCUCGUACUCUCCGAAAUGCAUUUCGGUGCAGCCUGUGAUGUUCUGUUCCAGAGGUAGAGCUACUGGUUGGACGCGAGGGCUUCACCGCCUAUCAAAUCCGGAUAAACUCCGAAUGCUGGAACACGAAAUCAUGGAGUGAGCCCGCGGGUGCUAAGGUCCGCGGACGAGAGGGAAAGAACCCGGACCACCGGCUAAGGUCCCGGAUGGACAGUUAAGUUGAUCAAACGAGGUGGGAUCGCUGAGACAGCUAGGAUGUUGGCUUGGAAGCAGCCAUUCAUUUAAAGAGUGCGUAACAGCUCACUAGUCGAGCGAUCCCGCGUGGAUAAUACACGGGCAUUAAACUGUCAACCGAAGCCGUGGGGUCAGCGAAAAGCUGACCGGUAGGAGAGCAUUCCUGCCAGCGUUGAAGGUCACCCGCGAGAGUGACUGGAGCGGCAUGAAAAGCAAAUGUAGGCAUAAGUAACGAUAAUGGGGGCGAGAACCCCCCACGCCGCAAGACCAAGGCUUCCCCGGCAAUGUCAAUCAGCCGGGGGUCAGCCGGCCUCUAAGGCUAACCCGAAGGGGGAUGCCGACGAGAAACGGGUUAACAUUCCCGUGCUUCUCGUCACCGUGACGCGGUGACGGGGUGAUGAAUGGACCGCGCGCUGACGGAAUAGCGCGUUGAAGGCCGUACCCUUCGAGGGUGGUAGUCAAGCACGCCACCCGAGGCGACAGCCGAUAGUACCACGAGACUCCGGUCGAGUGGAUAGCGUCCAGGCAAUUUACCCCCGAGAAAACCCGCUAAACUUCAAGUGACGAGGAACCGUACUGUAAACGGACACACGUGGUCGGGUAGAACAUACCAAGGCGCUCGAGUGAUUCAUGGUCAAGGAACUAGGCAAAAUAGUCCUGUAACUUCGGGAAAAAGGACGCUCUAGUGAUAGAGCCGCAGAGUAAUGGCCCAGGCGACUGUUUACCAAAAACACAUGGCUAUGCCAAAUCGAAAGAUGACGUAUAUGGCCUGACACCUGCCCGGUGCCGGAAGGUUAAGAGGAGAGCUCAUCGGAAACGAGAAGGUUUGAAUUGAAGCCCCGGUAAACGGCGGCCGUAACUAUAACGGUCCUAAGGUAGCGAAAUUCCUUGUCGGGUAAGUUCCGACCUGCACGAAUGGUGUAACGAUCUGGGCACUGUCUCGACCAUGAGCUCGGUGAAAUUGUAGUUCCGGUGAAGAUGCCGGGUACCCGCGACGGGACGGAAAGACCCCGUGAACCUUUACUGCAGCUUCGCGUUGUUCCCGGGCACGGGACGUGUAGGAUAGGUCGGAGGCUACGAUUCGGUUUCGCCAGGAAUCGAGGAGCCAUCGUUGAAAUACGACCCUUCUCUUGUCUGGGAUCUAACCCUAGGUACAGGGGACACCGCGUGGUGGGUAGUUUGACUGGGGUGGUCGCCUCCAAAAGCGUAACGGAGGCUUCCAAAGGUACCCUCGGGUUGGUUGGUAAUCAACCUCAGAGUGCAAUGGCACAAGGGUGCUUGACCGGGAGACCAACGAGUCGAUCGGGUGCGAAAGCAGGGCAUAGUGAUCCGGUGAUCCCGCGUGGAAGGGUCAUCGCUCAAAGGAUAAAAGGUACUCCGG
rnacentral:rRNA from 1 species